UUUAUAUCACGCAGUUGAUUUCUAGCUUUACGUUUGACCAUUCGUCUUAUUUAAAAUAAUUAUAUAAUCAUUACUUAUUUUGUUAUAAUAUGAUUUAUUAUUAUAUAAACUUUAUGUAUGCCUUAUAAUUUUACAUAUUUGGAUAUAAAUUUUGAAUAAGACGAAUGGUCAAACGUGGACCUAAAAGUCAACGGCGUCAUAUAUA
rnacentral:pre_miRNA from 1 species